CAGAACCAACAUAUCAUCCACCACGACCUAUUCAACCCAAAAUAGGACCUGCUGAUAGAGAUUCCCAAGGGUGUCUUCAGCUUCCUGUCAAGAACUUGGAGCUUUCGGACUUUGAUCAGUUACUUUGCUUAUUGCCAUCUUCAAGCAAUUGCAGUUAUCCUAAGGAGAAUAUAUAUAAGAAGCAGCCUAUGCUUUCUGUCAAACGAGAUGACAAAUGUGGUGCUAGUUCGUGGAUCUCGACUGCUGCCAUUCCAACUCAUCAACCUGCUGAUACAGAUGCAAGCAUGCAUGAGCAGGAGCUUCUUAGGCUUUAUGUCAGGAACUUGAAUUCCAAUUCCAACUCACAGCUCCUCGACGUCCAUCAAUGAGCUCAUAUGCUGCCAUCUUCAAGCUAUUGCAGCCAUCCCCAAAAGAGGCAUCAGCUUUCUGUUACUCGAGAUGGCGAAUGUGGUACUGAUUUGAGGAGAUUAUAUUGGUGCUGAGCCAAUUUGUCAUGCACAAUACACUAUACAACUUAAAACAAGACCAGCUGAUGCAGGUUUGUAUAGAUGCUUGUUCUUUCCUAGUGAGUAGGAUAUUGGUUAUAGUUCGGCAUCUACACUAAUCCAUCCGGUGUGCUGGUUCAAUUACUUGCAUUACAUGUGUUUUCAUAUCCAAAUUGAUGCAAGAAUGCCAGAGCAAGGGCUUCUUAAUCUACCUGUCAAGAAUCUGAAUUCCAAGUCACAGCUACUUGGUAUUGAUCAAUUAGCUCACCUGCUGUCAUCAUCAGGCAAUUGCAGCCAUCCUCAGAAGGAUGUUAAUAAGAGUCACCUUUCUCUUACCCGAGAUGACAGAUCUGGAACUAGUCUGAGGAUAUCUACUGCUGCUGAGCCAACUCGUAAUGAACCAAAAGCUAUACAAUAUAAUUUGGGAACAGCAUGCUUUCAGGAACAUAGUUUGUUUCACUUGGUCCCGCGAACAUCCGGGGAGCUGAUAUUAUUACCUGCGUCUUGAAGUUCAUCCAAAAUGGCUAAGGGAAAAGUUGUUGAGGUCGCAUUCAAGGACACUAAGUUUGGCGUGUAAGGGCGCAAAGAUAUUUUUCACUAUUUGUCAAGACAACUUGCUGGACUGUCCGAUUUUCCUCAUGCUAUACAUUUACUAAAACCCUCUGCAUCUGCUGUGACGAUGUUCGUAAAGCUGCUGAAGCAUGCUUUAGUGAAAUAUUCAGGGUUUGAGGACACGAAAUGGCAUGUGACACAAGUUGUGAAAAAUGUACAAGGUUCUUUAGCUAUUGAUGUCGAACAACUGUAACCGUAUAGGGUUUUCAAGAAAAUAUCGAAUCGGGUAGAUUGAUUUUAGCACCAUAACAUCCAAAACCAGCUCAAAGGUUGGAAAAUCCAAUGCUUAUGGUGAUCGUGCACUUCCAUCAUGGAAAGGAACAUAGUUGCAUCUUCAAGAGGUGCUCUUACCAAAGGACCAACACAAGAUUGAUUGUGUGUGUUCACGACAUCAACAUUUCAGUCACACACUUUGCUGAAUGUGAAUGACUCGAACAAGGUAAGAUAAAUUUGGCAGUUGACAUACAAGGUAUGACUUUUUGGUUAAUUGUCUGAUUGAUGUCUUCUGAUUCUUGUUGUCUUUUGAUUGUUAGUGAUUGGGUUUUUUGUGAUUAGUCUGUGGGGUUUUAUUUAGAAUUAUUUAUAUGUUUGCGUUUUUUGUGUUCUGAUUGUUUUUGUGAUGUAGGGUUGUGUUGGUUUGUUUUGUUUGUGUAAUUUAUUUUGGGUUUUGGUGCAGUUUGUCUUAAUUGUUCGAACUUGUUUCUUGGAUUGAUCUUUUACUUCAAAUUAGUUUGUGAUUGUGAGAUGUUGUUUGUGAUUCUGGAUUGUUUUUUGUCGGUUAUGAUUCUUGAAUUUCUAGUUUCUUUUAAUUUGUUUUAAUUUUGUCUUGUAAUUAGUUUUGUGAUUGUGGGCUUGGGUGCAACUGGUGUGAUAUUUGAAUUGGUUUCUUGGACCAUUCUUUGUAGUUGUGAUUAUUCAUUUUUUUGUGUGAAUUUGGUAUGAUUGAUGUUCCAAUAUUUGGUUAGUUUUCUCGGUGUUUGAUUCUUUUGAUACUCUAAUGGAAUUUCAGUAAUUCGUCGUGUGAUUGUGGGUUUCUUUUUUAUUGAUUGUUGUGUGAUUUGUGAUUGAUUGUGAUUCACGGUUUUUUUAUGAUUGUUGUGUGAUUUCUAGAUUUGUUUUGUUUAUGUGACUGUUUGUAUUUUGAUUGUUUGAUCAUUUUUGUUUGUGGGCUUGUGAAGUUGAAUUGUUGUGGAUUUUGGUGCAAUUUGACUUGAUUGUUUGAACUUGUUUCUUGGAUUAGACCUUUUGUCUUCUGAAUAGUUUAUGUCGUUUUUUGUAUUCUUUUUGUGAUUGUGGUUUGUCUUGUGAUCCUUUUUGUGAUUGUGGUUUGUCUUGUGAUUCUUUUUGUGAUUGUGGUUUGUGUUCUAAUUCUUUUUGUGAUCGCGAGUUUGUCUUAUGAAUUUUCGUGAAUGUGGGUAUUUUUCUGAUUGAUUGUUAUGUUAUUUUGUGGGAUUUUAUUUUGAUUGUUUAUGACAUUGUAUCGUUCGUAGUGCAAUUUGACGUCUCAUUGUUGUUUGUCUUGUGAUGAUUGUGGUUUGUGUUCUAAUUCACAAUUUUUUUAUGAUUGUUAUGUGAUUUCUGGAUUUGUAUUGUUUAUGUGACUGUUUGUAUUUUGAUUGUUUGAUCGUUUUUGUUUGUGGGCUUGUGAAGUUACUUGAAUUGUUGUGGGUUUUGGUGCAAUUUGACUUAAUUGUUUGAACUUGUCUCUUGGAUUAGACCUUUUGUCAUCUCAAUAGUUUAUGUGAUUAUCGGUUGUUUGUAUUUUUUUCUGUGAUUGUGGUUUGUGUUCUAAUUCAUUUUGUGAUCGCGAGUUUGUCUUAUGAAUUUUUGUGAAUGUGGGUAUUUUUCUGAUUGAUUGUUAUGUAAUUUGUGGGAUUUUUUUUUCUGAUUGUUUAUGAGAUUGUGUCGUUCAUAGUGUAUUUUGACGUGUGAUUGUUGUUUGUCUUGUGAUUGACUAUGAUUCACAGUUUUUUUUGUAACUGUUGUGUGAUUUCUGGAUUUGUAUUGUUUAUGUGACUAUUUGUAGUUUUGAUUGUUUGAUCGUUUUUGUUUGUGGGCUUGUAAAGUUACUUGAAUUGUUGUGGGUUUUGGUGCAAUUUGACUUAAUUGUUUGAACUUGUCUCUUGGAUUAGACCUUUUGUCAUCUCAAUAGUUUAUGUGAUUAUCGGUUGUUUGUAUUUUUUUUUUGUGAUUGUGGUUUGUCUUGUGAUUCUUUUUGUGAUUGUGGUUUGUGUUCUAAUUCUUUUUGCGAUCGCGAGUUUGUCUUAUGAAUUUUCGUGAAUGUGGGUAUUUUUCUGAUUGAUUGUUAUGUGAUUUGUGGGAAUUUUUUUUUCUGAUUGUUUAUGAGAUUGUGUCGUUCAUAGUGUAUUUUGACGCGUGAUUGUUGUUUGUCUUGUGAUUGAUUGUGAUUCACAGUUUUUUUAUAACUCUUGUGUGAUUUCUGGAUUUGUAUUGUUUAUGUGACUAUUUGUAGUUUUGAUUGUUUGAUCGUUUUUGUUUGUGGGCUUGUGAAGUUGAAUUGUUGUGGAUUUUGGUGCAAUUUGACUUGAUUGUUUGAACUUGUUUAUUCGAUUAGACCUUUGUCUUCUGAAUAGUUUAUGUGGUUGUUUGUAUUCUUUUUGUGAUUGUGGUUUGUCUUGUGAUUCUUUUUGUGAUUGUGGUUUGUGUUCUAAUUCUUUUUGUGAUCGCGAGUUUGUCUUAUGAAUUUUCGUGAAUGUGGGUAUUUUUCUGAUUGAUUGUUAUGUGAUUUGUGGGAUUUUUUUUUCUGAUUGUUUAUGAGAUUGUGUCGUUCAUAGUGUAUUUUGACGUGUGAUUGUUGUUUGUCUUGUGAUUGAUUGUGAUUCACAGUUUUUUUUAUAACUCUUGUGUGAUUUCUGGAUUUGUAUUGUUUAUGUGACUAUUUGUAGUUUUGAUUGUUUGAUCGUUUUUGUUUGUGGGCUUGUGAAGUUACUUGAAUUGUUGUGGGUUUUGGUGCAAUUUGACUUAAUUGUUUUACUUGUCUCUUGGAUUGACCUUUUGUCUUCUGAAUAGUUUAUGUGAUUAUCGAUUAUUUGUAUUCUUCUUGUGAUUGUGGUUUAUGUUUAAACUUUUUGUGAUCGCGAGUUUGUCUUAUGAAUUUUCGUGAAUGUGGGUACUUUUUUGAUUGAUUGUUAUGUGAUUUGUGGGAUUUUAUUCUGAUUGUUUAUGAGAUUAUGUUGUUUGUGGUCUCAUUGGGUUUUGGUGCAAUUUGUCUUAAUUGUUCGAACUUGUUUCUUGGAUUGAUCUUUUAUUUCAAAUUAGUUUGUGAUUGUGAGAUGUUGUUUGUGAUUCUGGAUUGUUUUUUGUCGGUUAUGAUUCUUGAAUUUCUAGUUUCUUGGAAUUUGUUUUAAUUUUGUCUUGCAAUUAGUUUUGUGAUUGUGGCUUGGGUGCAACUGGUGUGAUAUUUGAAUUAGUUUUUUGGACCAUUCUUUGUGGUUUGUGAUUAUUCAUUUUUUUUGGUGAAUAUGGUGUGAUUGAUGUUCCAAUAUUUGGUUAGUUUUCUAGGUGUUUGAUUCUUUUGAUGUUCUAAUGGAAUUUCAGUAAUUAGUUGUGUGAUUGUGGGUUUUUUUUUUUAUUGAUUGUUGUGUGUUUGUGGGAUUUUAUUCUGGUUGUCUAUGUGAUUGUAGUGUCUGUAGUGUAAAUUGCAUUUUUCUCUUUUUGAAUUCGUAAUUUAGGUUAUUUGGCCUUUCGUCCUUUAAUUUUAUGGGAGACGUUUUGGUCUGAUAUUAAUUUAAUUUUCACAAUUUCAAUUUAUUUUCUCGUCGAUUUUCACCUCCACCGGCAAAAAGGGUGAACUCAACCUAAAAAAAUAAUUGAAAUCAAGAAAAUUAAAAAGAUGUAGGACUAAAAUCAUAACCUAGAAAUUAAAGGACAAAAAUUGUUGGGAAAAAAA